AAUCUCCCUGCCGUCUUUCUUUCUCCCUUUCUCUGUUUUUUUUUGUUGCACUACCACCACCGGUCAGCAAGAAUCCAGCUACCCCAUCCUGAUGACCGACGACCGACAGACUAAAGGAAUAUAUCGGAGCUCGCUGGAUUUCAGAAAAUCAGUCCAUAGUUUUUUUUAUCCCCGUCAUCUCCUAGGUAUGAUCCCACCACCCCUUUUAUAUAUUUUCCUGUCUUAUCUAGACCUGAUUUUUCCGACAGAUUGUUCAGACCCUUAUUGUUGCUUGAUUGUUAACUAAUUUCCUUAAAUCUGAUAUUGUGUUUAUGAAUUUAUUAUUGUGCCCUUGUGAAUAUUACUACAUUUUCUUGGUUCCUACUUUAAACUGGUAUCUUUGCUAUAGUUUAUUGCUUCUUUUUAGUUUCUUCAUUGUAUUGUGUGACUGCCACUUUUGCAUUUAGGGAUUUGACGUUAUGGGUUGCCCCACUUGAUUAUUCUGUACUGGCGUUAGUGGCUUCAAAAGAUCUGAUGGUAGUUAAAAGUCAUGUCAAUGAUUUGGGGUGAGGGCAGGGGUGGUAAGGGUACCAAGGGAACUCCUAGGUUGAGAGUUCUGUCUUGGAACAUAGGAACAUUGGCGAGGAAGUCAAUAGAGUUGGUGAUUAUUCUUAAGAGAAGGAAGAUCUUUAUACCUUGGGUUUAGGACACCUAAUGGGUAGGAACUAAGACUAGGGAUAUAGUCGUGUACAAGAUAAGGUACUCAGGAAGUUUGAGGAGUAGGAAUGGAGUAGGUAUUUUAGUCUAUGUUGCUCAGAUUUUUCAAAAAUGUCAACGAGUGCGGCAACAAUUUCAGAGAGUCCAAGCAACAAAGAUUUUAGAGGAAGAACCUAAUGUAUCCUAUAAAUGAAGUCACCAACAUGAACUGCUAGCUGCUAUACAUGAUGGAGAAGUUGGCAGUCUGCCAACAAUUCACUUGGGACUACCUCUGGGGCUAAAUCUAAAUCUGAAUCUAUAGAAAUAUGGGAUAGAGUGAUAGAGAAGUGUGAAAAAAAGCUAGCCAGGUGGAAAACUCAAUACCUCUCCUUACGAAGAAGACUCACUCUCAUUAAUUUAGUCCUUGAUGCUUUCCCAACUUUUAUGAUGCCUUUAUUUCCCAUCCUACCAGGGUUAUCAAAAGGUUGGACAACACUAGGAGAGAGAUUUUGUGGCAGGGAAACAAAGAAAAGAAAGGGUACCAAUGACAAAGAAUCUGAAAUUUCAAAGCAAAGCUCUAAGAAUGGAGUGGUUAUGGAGAUAUGCCAAUGACAAACAAUUGUUGUGGAGCAGGGUCAUUGGUGCCAAAUAUGAAGAGGAAGACAGCAGGGUCUAAAAUGUGCAUCUAUGCCAGGGAUUGGGGACCAAAUCUACAAUUUAUCCAAGAUGUCCUCAGUUCCUGUUAGACUAAUGGCAGCUGUUUUGAAAAGCAAUUAAUAUUUGGCUCGAGAGGUAUAAUAAAUUGUUGCUCCAUACAUAGCAGCUACCUGCUUCCUUCUUCAAUUGUUUCCAACAUCUUCUUUUAAUCCACGCCAAUAUUUGUUGAAUUGCGCCUCUUAGCAGUUCCACACCCAUCCAGUUAGUCAAAUCCUUCCUCACUGUAUUCCCCCAAUGACAUUCAGUAAACAAAUGUUG